rnacentral:rRNA from 1 species
UACAGAGGUCUCGAGCGUUAGGCGGAAUCACUGGGCUUAAAGCGUGUGUAGGUGGAUCGUUAAGUACCUUGUGAAAUCCCACGGCUUAACCGUGGAACUGCUUGGUAUACUGGCGGUCUUGAGCCAGCUAGGGGCUACCGGAACAAAUGGUGGAGCGGUGAAAUGCGUAGAUAUCGGGAAGAACACCCGUGGCGAAGGCGGUUCUCUGGGACGGUACUGACGCUGAGACGCGAAAGCGUGGGGAGCGAACAGG